GGAAGCUUAGCUCAGUUGGUUAGAGUAACCGGCUCAUAACCGGUCGGUCCUGGGUUCGAGCCCCAGAGCUUCCA
rnacentral:tRNA from 3 species